UUUUGUGGAAGUAGAUGAUUGAUAGAUACUCGGAGGAGUAAUUGAUAGAUAUAGACGUCGUGGUUCCUAAUUCUUCAUGUACUAUUUUUCUUCCAGUUUUCUUUUAAUUACAAGCUACCUCUGCCAUUGUAGUCAUUUCUUUAUUUCAUACCAGUCUCUGUUGACUACUAUGUAACCAUGCAUGGGUAGCUUAAAUGGCAUAAGUUCUUAUUCAGUUAGAAAAAGGCAACAAAAACAACCAGGGUAAUCUUGCUCUAGAAAUUGCAUGACAUGUGCUUAUUCUCAUUUGUACAUAUGUGCGAGUUGAGUUCAAGAAAUUCUUGCAAAUGUAUUUUUUGGAUAACAGUCGUCAGCACAUAACCAUUUACUGAUUUAUAUUAAACCCUAUGGAAGCCAAGAUAUAUUCCAGGUUUAGGUUCAUGUCCAAUAUAUCUCAUUUCACGGAAUAUAGAUUUGCUUGGAAGCUAUAUCCUCCCAUGGUCCAUUGUUUUAUGCAUUGUUCAUGUUAACUUGGCUAAGAAGUGUUCAAGGAAGCUUUGAGUUUUGGUUGUUUCAAAAUAAACACAUCAAAGAAGAUGUUAUAUACCUUUUGCCAUUUAGCGGUGCUUAGGGAGUGAACAAGAUCCACUCUAAAAAGCUCCAGCAUCUGUCAACAAAGUUACCAGUGCAAAGCAGAUGGAAAAGAAUAAGGCAUCAAAGAAUGUUGUGCAUGUGCCUCUGCUUCCUCCUGCUACUAAUGAGGUCACAGAUCCAGUUGUUGAUCCUAAAACACAGGAUGUUGGUGGGGUUACUUUAAGGGGUGUUGAUGCAGAGGAGGGAGGCGAGGAUCCUAGUGCCAGAAAAAAGCAUAAGCUCUAGAGCAGCUGACGCCGAUUGAUCCACUCUUUUGGUCCAUGACGGUUGGCUAUGGACGUACGACGAUACCUGGAUUUGCUGAUAUCCGUGGUGCUUCAUUACGUGCUCAACGAUGAAGCCCCUUCGUCGUACGGACCUGUCUACAUGAAGACCUAUCACUUAGUAUAUAAUCUGCUGCUUUAUUUCCUUUAGGGGGUAUGUGCCGCGGGUACUUUUAAAUUUGAACAAAACCUACCUUAUUAUUACCUGUUUGCUUGAAUGUGUGCCGCCGAC